rnacentral:tRNA from 3 species
UACCACUUGGCCAUAUCGCC